AGCUAGUGGGUCCCCAGAUACCUAAGUGGUCUUACUGGAUAGAAAUAAAAAUAUUAGCUUGUGCUUGAGUAGCUCUGCUAAACAAAUAGUGUAGACCCAGCUCUACCAUCUUAUUUUAGAUCUCUAGCUGUGUCUGCCUCAAUUGCCAUGUCAUUGCUCUGCAAACAAGUGAUGGCAUGAAAUAGUUACCUUUUAGGUUAGGUGACUGUGAUGGACUUGCCUCUGGUGGUGUUGUCAACCUGAAGCUGACCCUUUCUUAGAGUUGCUGACAAUUAGAUUAAGGUUUCAGAUCAGGAUUUUCACAAGCCUUCAAGGAGCAGAUAUUUUUAAGGACAAACUAAGUCGUGGUCAUGGCACAUUCACAAAAUAUCAUCAUCAUCUCAGCAUCCUUAGCAUUUUAAGUUUAUUAUACUUGGAAGUAAAGAGGAGUUUCACAGAAUCCCUUCAGAUCACAAUCAAAUACUCUGGAGAAAAUCAGUGGCAGAAGAGUGCAACUUAAGAAUUUCUACAUCAAUUUUACAUUUGCAUGAAGCAAAUAAAUAAAUAGAAUACUAAGGUAACUGAAAUUGG
rnacentral:lncRNA from 1 species